rnacentral:rRNA from 1 species
AACCUUUAGCCAAACAAGUAUUAAAGGCAACGCCUGCCCAGUGAACAAUUAAACGGCCGCGGUACCCUAACCGUGCAAAGGUAGCAUAAUCAUUUGUCUACUAAUUAUAGACCUGUAUGAAAGGCAAAAUGAGGGUUUAACUGUCUCUUAUAAUUAAUCAAUUAAACUGAUCUUCUAGUAAAAAAGCUAGAAUACUCACAUAAGACCAGAAGACCCUGUGAAGCUUCAAUUAAACUAUUAAACCCAAUAAUAGCUAGUUUAGGUUGGGGCGACCUUGGAAAUAAAAAGAACUUCCAAAACAACUUUCACGUACCACCCAGGCCUACAAGCCACUAAAUGACCCAGCACAGCUGACAAACGGACCAAGUUACUCCAGGGAUAACAGCGCAAUCUUCUUCAAGAGCCCAUAUCAAAAAGAAGGUUUACGACCUCGAUGUUGGAUCAGGACAUCCUAAUGGUGCAACCGCUAUUAAGGGUUCGUUUGUUCAACGAUUAAUAGUCCU